GAAGAAGGCCUUCGGGUUGUAAAGCACUUUUGUCCGGAAAGAAAUCCUUGGCUCUAAUACAGCCGGGGGAUGACGGUACCGGAAGAAUAAGCACCGGCUAACUACGUGCCAGCAGCCGCGGUAAUACGUAGGGUGCAAGCGUUAAUCGGAAUUACUGGGCGUAAAGCGUGCGCAGGCGGUUUGCUAAGACCGAUGUGAAAUCCCCGGGCUCAACCUGGGACCUGCAUUGGUGACUGGCAGGCUAGAGUAUGGCAGAGGGGGGUAGAAUUCCACGUGUAGCAGUGAAAUGCGUAGAGAUGUGGAGGAAUACCGAUGGCGAAGGCAGCCCCCUGGGCCAAUACUGACGCUCAUGCACGAAAGCGUGGGGAGCAAACAGGAUUAGAUACCCUGGUAGUCCACGCCCUAAACGAUGUCAACUAGUUGUUGGGGAUUCAUUUCCUUAGUAACGUAGCUAAACGCGUGAAGUUGACCGCCUGGGGGAGUACGGUCGCAAGAUUAAAACUCAAAAGGAAUUGACGGGGACCCGCACAAGCGGUGGGAUGAUGUGGAUUAAUUCGAUGCAACGCGAAAAAACCUUACCUACCCUUGACAUGGUCGGAAUCCCGCUGAGAGGCGGGAGUGCUCGAAAGAGAACCGGCGCACAGGUGCUGCAUGGCUGUCGUCAGCUCGUGUCGUGAGAUGUUGGGUUAAGUCCCGCAACGAGCGCAACCCUUGUCCUUAGUUGCUACGCAAGAGCACUCUAAGGAGACUGCCGGUGACAAACCGGAGGAAGGUGGGGAUGACGUCAAGUCCUCAUGGCCCUUAUGGGUAGGGCUUCACACGUCAUACAAUGGUCGGAACAGAGGGUUGCCAACCCGCGAGGGGGAGCUAAUCCCAGAAAACCGAUCGUAGUCCGGAUUGCACUCUGCAACUCGAGUGCAUGAAGCUGGAAUCGCUAGUAAU
rnacentral:rRNA from 1 species